GCAGAAGCACUGUGACUGCAUUUAAGACUCAAAAAUUUCAUCUAUUGUAAGAUUCUGUACAAAUUGUUUUGAGUCACCUAUGAACACAACCUGAAUGGAGAAAUGUGUUCCUACUUCCUUGGCUAACUGUGACUGAUUGGUAAUGGCUGUCUGGAUCAUGGUGUUGAGAUAAAUAAUGAGACCUUGCCUCGGCUUGGACAGGAAAAUGGCUGCGAUUAAUUAGAAAUGUCUGCCACGGCCACAAGUCGGGGCUUAUCUUUUCCUCGGGGGAGGAGAAACAGAGAUAUUUCUGCUUGCUGAGGACUCCGGAUGCUCAGUCCUUUAGACCAUCACACCAUACUUCUUCCUUCAAUGAUCGGAAUUUGCUUUUCCUGAUGGAGUUACCUCUUGGAUGAAUCAAGCACUUUUACCUUCUCUACCUGGGUGGCUGGCUCAUAAUUGCCACCAGUCUGUUGGGAUGACCUGAGCUCAGCUCAUACCUUACAGGUUACUGUAACACUUCCUGAAGAUUUACAUUUAUGUUUCAUCUAGAUGUAAUUUAAGAUCUUCUUAAGCUCAAAAGAGUAUAAACGAACUCCCACCUGCUAAGCUGGCUUCCAGGAAUGAUGCAAGAUGGAGCUGUCUCCUUCUUUGAUUGAUCAAAAUAUAAGUAUUAGAACCUUCUCCCAUUUUUUCUUCUUAAUUCUAAAUUCAGUAAUUUACUCGACAAGCACGAUGGUACACACUACCCAGUUUUAAUCAAGGCUAGCACUUUAUCUUAUUUGCUUCAAAUAUUGCAGAUAAACUUCAGAUGCCCUCAUCCCUCCUCCCAUCCUUAGAGGGAAACACUAUCCCUUAUUCUUUUCCAAAGAUAACUUAGUUUUUGCUCCAUUUGGUGAUUGAAGGGCUGGGGAAAUGGAAUUAUAUUCAUUGCAUUUCUCCUUUCUGCUUUUUUUUUUUUUUUAAUAAGCAUGGAUUGUACUCUUUGAAUGGGAGGAAAUAGACCCUGAGUGUCAAAUAUUUGAGAUGUGGCUUUUGUUUAUGUUGCCAGUGGUUGAAAUUUGAAGGGGAAAAAACCUAGCAUGGGUUUAGGGUUUUUUUUGACAGAUCCAUGGAGCUGCAGAACAUUAUCUAUUUUGCUUAAGGCCAAAAACUUGAAUUUAUAAUUCUACAUGAGCUUCUCAAAGGGGAAACUAAACAAUUCAGCCCAAGAUUUUUUCCAGUGUAAAUUUUUUGCUCCUCAUUGGACCGAAUGCCCAGGGGAACACAAAUAAAUAGCAAAGGAUCACCUUUUGAGGAGCUGACACACCAAUCAGGAUAAAAACAUGUUAAAAAGAGAGUAAUAGGAGACAGACUAUAAUCAAGCUUGCAAUCCUGUUGGGAAGAAAUCUGAGUGCCAAAAGUAGGAAGAAAAGAGUGGGUUGAGGUGAAAUCAGGAUGUGAGAACAAGAUACCAGAGUAAAAAGGCAGCAAGAGUAGAUGCAAAGAUAGAGAAUUGUGGAAGUCAUAUUGUAGGCUUGGUUUCAUUUUUCUAAGAACCUUCCUUUGAAUAAUUCACAGAGCGCUCUGCAGAGUGGCAUUUUAGUUUGUAGACCCCUUAAUAAAUAUUCAUUGUAAUGGCAGAAUGUGUAAUUAAAAAUUAA